GGGAUAGAACUAUCCGAAUUUGGGAUCCACAAUCUUUAGAAUUUAAAUUAAUUUCAACCUUACAGCAACCCGACAGGGUAUAUACUUUAAGCACCGUCGAGAAUUAUUUGGUGGUGGGGACCGCCUCCCGUCACGUGUGGAUUUGGGAUUUGAGAAAUACUUCCCAUCCAAUUCAGAAAAGAGAGAGUUCUCUAAAGCAUCAAACUCGUUAUAUUUGUUGCUUCCUCAAUGGAAAAGGCUAUGCGCACUGCUCCAUUGAAGGGCGAGUGGCUGUUGAAUUUUUUGAUCUGAACUCUCAAUCAAAGCGAUAUGCUUUUAAGUGCCAUCGAAGUGUGAAAGAUGGGGUGCCCACCAUUUAUCCAAUAAACGCUUUAGCUUUCCAUCCAGUUUACCACACCUUGGCUACUGGAGGCAGUGACGGAACUGUUU